rnacentral:rRNA from 1 species
AUUGAACGCUGGCGGCAGGCCUAACACAUGCAAGUCGAACGAGUGGCGGACGGGUGAGUAAUGUCUGGGAAACUGCCUGAUGGAGGGGGAUAACUACUGGAAACGGUAGCUAAUACCGCAUACCAUCGGAUGUGCCCAGAUGGGAUGAGCUAGUAGGUGGGGUAAAGGCUCCCCUAGGCGACGAUCCCUAGCUGGUCUGAGAGGCUGACCAGCCACACUGGAAAUGGGCCACGGUACAGACUCCUGCGGGAGGCAGCAGGGGGGAGUAUUGCACAAUGGGCGCAAGCCUGAUGAAGCCAUGCCGCGUGUAUGAAGAAGGCCUUCGGGUUGUAAAGUACUUUCAGCGGGGAGGCGUUACCCGCAGAAGAAGCACCGGCUAACUCCGUGCCAGCCGCCGCGGUAAUAC